rnacentral:rRNA from 1 species
GUGGGGAAUAUUGGGCAAUGGAGGCAACUCUGACCCAGCCAUGCCGCGUACAGGAUGACGGCCCUCUGGGUUGUAAACUGCUUUUAUACGGGAAGAAAAAAUACUACGUGUAGUAUACUGACGGUACCGUAAGAAUAAGGAUCGGCUAACUCCGUGCCAGCAGCCGCGGUAAUACGGAGGAUCCAAGCGUUGUCCGGAUUUAUUGGGUUUAAAGGGUGCGUAGGCGGAUCUUUAAGUCAGUGGUGAAAGCCUGCAGCUUAACUGUAGAAUUGCCAUUGAAACUGAAGAUCUUGAAUGUGGUUAAAGUAGGCGGAAUGUAUCAUGUAGCGGUGAAAUGCUUAGAUAUGAUACAGAACACCGAUAGCGAAGGCAGCUUGCUGAACCAUUAUUGACGCUGAGGCACGAAAGCGUGGGGAGCGAACAGGAUUAGAAACCCCAGUAGUCC